rnacentral:rRNA from 1 species
GAUGAACGCUGGCGGCGUGCCUAAUACAUGCAAGUCGAGCGAACAGACGAGGAGCUUGCUCCUCUGACGUUAGCGGCGGACGGGUGAGUAACACGUGGAUAACCUACCUAUAAGACUGGGAUAACUUCGGGAAACCGGAGCUAAUACCGGAUAAUAUAUUGAACCGCAUGGUUCAAUAGUGAAAGACGGUUUUGCUGUCACUUAUAGAUGGAUCCGCGCCGCAUUAGCUAGUUGGUAAGGUAACGGCUUACCAAGGCGACGAUGCGUAGCCGACCUGAGAGGGUGAUCGGCCACCCUGGAACUGAGACACGGUCCAGCCUCCUACGGGAGGCAGCAGUAGGGAAUCUUCCGCAAUGGGCGAAAGCCUGACGGAGCAACGCCGCGUGAGUGAUGAAGGUCUUCGGAUCGUAAAACUCUGUUAUUAGGGAAGAACAAAUGUGUAAGUAACUAUGCACGUCUUGACGGUACCUAAUCAGAAAGCCACGGCUAACUACGU